rnacentral:rRNA from 1 species
UGGCCUUGACAUACUAAGAACUUUCCAGAGAUGGAUUGGUGCCUUCGGGAACUUAGAUACAGGUGCUGCAUGGCUGUCGUCAGCUCGUGUCGUGAGAUGUUGGGUUAAGUCCGCAACGAGCGCAACCCUUUUCCUUAUUUGCCAGCGGGUAAUGCCGGGAACUUUAAGGAUACUGCCAGUGACAAACUGGAGGAAGGCGGGGACGACGUCAAGUCAUCAUGGCCCUUACGGCCAGGGCUACACACGUGCUACAAUGGUCGGUACAAAGGGUUGCUACCUCGCGAGAGGAUGCUAAUCUCAAAAAGCCGAUCGUAGUCCGGAUCGCAGUCUGCAACUCGACUGCGUGAAGUCGGAAUCGCUAGUAAUCGCGGAUCAGAAUGCCGCGGUGAAUACGUUCCCGGGCCUUGUACACACCGCCCGUCACACCAUGGGAGUUUGUUGCACCAGAAGUAGGUAGUCUAACCGCAAGGAGGACGCUUACCACGGUGUGGCCGAUGACUGGGGGUGAAGUCGUAACAAGGUAAGCGUAGAUGA